AAUAAACACGUCAUUCAAAUAUACAGCUCUCUCUGGGGAUUCCUUUCCGGAUUCGCUGGGCCAGCGGUCGGCCUGGGGCUGGUGGGCCUGGGGGUGGGCGGCGGCCGCCCCACCGGACAUUUCAGCCCCACCGUGAGCACCACGAGCGAGUCAACUCUGCAAGCCCCACUUUGUGAGACGGCAGCGUGGUCAGGCUUUUCCCGGACUGGUUGGCUGGUUCAUUCAUUCAUCCAGCAGGGAUUCCCGAGAGCCCGCACUGCCCAGCGCUGCGUCGGGCUGGAAAUUGGGGGUGAACAGACCAGGCGGGGCCCGUGCGCUCCUGAAGCUGUGCGCGCCGGCGGGGGAGCAGCCACGCGGUGCAGGCGAUGCUGUAGGUGCUCUACACGGCCCCGCGGCGGGCCGGCGGGGGAGGAAACUGAGGCCGGGGCGCAGGCGGGGCGCAGGCGGGGCUGCAGGCGGGGCUCGGGGGGCUCCGGGAGCGCAGGCGGGGCGCAGGCGGGGCUCGGGGGGCUCCCGGGGCGGCGGGGCGCAGGCGGGGCUUGGGGGGCUCCCGGGGCGGCGGGGCGCAGGCCCGGCUGGACUGCGCGGGGCCCGCCGCUCCCGCCCUCCGCGGGCCCACGUGACGGGAAGCGGCGGCGGCGGCGGCGGCGGCGGCGGCGGCGGCGGCGGCGGGGCCGGGCCAGCCCAGGAGCGGCGGGCCGGGAGCGGCGGGCGGCGCGGGGCCCCAGGCCGCAGGGCCGCGCGGGACGGCGGAGGGCGGCGGGCGCCGCGCGGGUGAGUGCGGGGGGCGGUGGCGGGGCCGGGCGGGGCGCGGGGGGCGCGGGGGGCGGCGAGGGAGGGGCGCCUGGGGUGGGGGCGGGGCGCGGCCGGCAGGUGUGUCGGCGGGGGCGGGGGGCUCGUUGGCGAGGGCAAGUGUGCACGUGCGCGUGGCUGGGACAGGUGCGCCCGCGCGGGGGUCAGCGGGGGCGGAGGGUGCGGGGCGUGUGCGAGCUUAGGGCGGGCGAGGCGGGGCAGACCCAGCCCCCGGUUUGGGGGAGGCUUUCGGUUUUCUGGGGGGAGGAGCCCCGGACUCCGCCCCUGCGCCCGGAGCCCCGCCGCCCCGUGUCAGGACUGGUUCUGUCGCUGGAGCUCCUGGGAUUUCAGAGUUGA
rnacentral:lncRNA from 1 species